AGUGAACGCUGGCGGUAGGCCUAACACAUGCAAGUCGAACGGCAGCACAGUAAGAGCUUGCUCUUACGGGUGGCGAGUGGCGGACGGGUGAGGAAUACAUCGGAAUCUACUUUUUCGUGGGGGAUAACGUAGGGAAACUUACGCUAAUACCGCAUACGACCUACGGGUGAAAGCAGGGGAUCUUCGGACCUUGCGCGAUUGAAUGAGCCGAUGUCGGAUUAGCUAGUUGGCGGGGUAAAGGCCCACCAAGGCGACGAUCCGUAGCUGGUCUGAGCGGAUGUUCAGCCACACUGGAACUGAGACACGGUCCAGACUCCUACGGGAGGCAGCAGUGGGGAAUAUUGGACAAUGGGCGCAAGCCUGAUCCAGCCAUACCGCGUGGGUGAAGAAGGCCUUCGGGUUGUAAAGCCCUUUUGUUGGGAAAGAAAAGCAGCAGGUUAAUACCCCGCUGUUCUGACGGUACCCAAAGAAUAAGCACCGGCUAACUUCGUG
rnacentral:rRNA from 1 species